UACAGAGGGGGCAAGGCGUUGUUCGGAAUUACUGGGCGUAAAGGGCGCGUAGGCGGCCUUCUAAGUCGAACGUGAAAUCCCCGGGCUCAACCCGGGAACUGCGUCCGAUACUGGAAGGCUUGAAUCCGGGAGAGGGAUGCGGGAAUUCCGAGGUGUAGCGGUGAAAUGCGUAGAUAUCUGGAGGAACACCGGUGGCGAAGG
rnacentral:rRNA from 1 species